CUGCUUAUGAUUUCAUCAUUUUUGCUCACCUUUGCAUUGAGCCUUUGUUUGAAAAACUAUUGAAAAAUAUCUUUAAAUGAUUUUUUACUGGAACCGUGCCCUUCAUUGAUGCUUCAAUACUCUUAUCCCUCAGUGCUAUGUUUUCCCAUUCAGGUGAUUGUCGAGAAAGCAGAAAAGGCUGAUAUCUCUGACAUUGAUAAGAAGUAAGUUGCUUCUGCGACUUUCCAUGAUGGUGAUUGUUAAGAAUAAAGCGUUCAGUUUUAAGCUCUAUAGUUAUUACAUUUAAAACACCGAAUGCAUGUUGAAAUCCAAUCCAACUAUAUAUUGGUUUCAGCGUGCUAGUUGCUCUUAUAGUUUGUGUUCUCUUUUGUGGUUAUAUUUGACUUCUAGGUACAUGAUAUCUGUUUUACUUCAGAUAUUUUUAUUUAUUUAAUUUCUAGUGCUGUUUAUUUUUAUUUUUUAUUAUUAUUAUUAUUAUUUUGUAGAAUAUUUGCUUGAUCUCAACUUGUUCGGUCAUCCGCUUUGUGUCCCCCACCACCCCGGGGCCCGGGGGGGGGGGCAGUGGAUGCGGAUAUUAACAUAGCAAGUUAGGAGGAUAUAUCUUGUGAAUGCUGCUUGUAGUAGUAAAAGGUUGGCAAAAUUUUUGUUCAUGAAUUGAUUAUAAAAUCAGAGAAUUUGUUGCCUGGAAGUUGAUAGUACAAGAUAUUUUAUUGUGGUUUGUCAUGGUUGAUAUGAGUUUAUGAGUUUCCAUUUCUUUUCCUCUUAUGCCCCCUGAUGGAGGUGGAUUUGUGGUUGUGCAAGUUUGGGAUAUAUAUAUCCUGAAUGCUGCAGAAUUUUACAUUUAUUAGCAGGAGUAGCAAUUUGACAGAGUUUGUCGCCACGAAGGUUGAUGAUAUAAUUCAUUAAUCAUAUGCGUUUCUGUUAGAUUCAAUUUCAAGUAUGGUCUGUGCAGUAGUUCCUGGUGUUCAUGGUCCCAAUCUGAGGUUUUUCGUAUCCUAAAUACUACAUGUUCCUGCCGUUAUAUAGCACCGGAUGGUUGAUUUAGAUGUUUUGGCUUCAUCGCCGUGGAGGACCUCGUCCCAGCUGAUUUGACUGUUGGCCAGUUUGUUUAUGUGGUUCGAAAGAGGAUCAAUCUCAGCACCGAGAAGGCCAUAUUUGUCUUUGUCGAAAAACAUUCUGCCUCCAACUGCUGUUCUGAUAUCUGCAAUUUACAAGGAAAACAAGGAUGAAGAUGGAUUCCUUUACAUGACAUACAGAGGCAGAUCCGGGAUUUUAAUUUAAUGAGGUUCAAACUUGCAUUGAGCUCAUUAUACUGUUAAAAUUAUGAGUUCAGAUCUAACAUUUAUUGAGAUUUUAGUAGGUUUUUACAUAUAUAUAUAUAUAUAUAUAUAUAUAUACACACACACACACACAUCGUGUUAUGAGUUCAAAUGAACCCAUAACCUUUAGGCUACAUGCGCUUCUCUAUCUGCUAUCUUUCAUCGGUAAAGGUACUGAAUAACUUUGUCUAUCAAAGCGCAGACAAAUGAGAAGAAAUCACGUGACCUCCGCUUUCUUUUUCUAUUUUUUUGUUUACCUUUUUUCUUAGUGGCCUAAUUUUGAAGUUGUAUAUGCCAUAGUAGAUUAGUAGUAACAGAGUUGCAGUUUUGUGAUUUGUAUACAUUUUUUGUGGAAGAAAGAAUGGCUGACUCAGGGAUUUUGUCUA